rnacentral:rRNA from 2 species
CAAAAGAAGUAGGUAGUUUAACCUUCGGGGGGACGCUUACCACUUUGUGGUUCAUGACUGGGGUGAAGUCGUAACAAGGUAGCGCUAGGGGAACCUGGCGCUGGAUCACCUCCUUAUACGAUGAU